rnacentral:rRNA from 1 species
GUGCCAGCCGCCGCGGUAAUACAGAGGUGGCAAGCGUUGUUCGGAAUUACUGGGCGUAAAGGGCGCGUAGGCGGUCCUGUAAGUCCCGUGUGAAAUCCCCCGGCUCAACUGGGGAAUGGCACGGGAGACUGCGGGGCUUGAGUUCGGGAGAGGGAAGCGGAAUUCCGGGUGUAGCGGUGAAAUGCGUAGAUAUCCGGAGGAACACCGGUGGCGAAGGCGGCUUCCUGGACCGACACUGACGCUAAGGCGCGAAAGCUAGGGGAGCAAACGGGAUUAGAUACCCCGGUAGUCCUAGCUGUAAACGAUGAGUGCUGGGUGUGGAGGGUAUUAAACCCCUCCGUGCCGAAGCUAACGCAUUAAGCACUCCGCCUGGGGAGUACGGUCGCAAGGCUGAA